rnacentral:rRNA from 1 species
GUCCACCGAUUCGUUCGGGGCAGAUAGCUGAGUAACACGUGGUCAACCUGCCCUGUGGAUGAGGAUAACCUCGCUAACGUGAGGCUAAUACUCGAUAGCAGAUCUCUUCUGGAACGGGAAAUCUGUGAAAUGCUCCGGCGCCACAGGAUGGGACCGCGGCUGAUUAGGUCGUUGGUGAGGUAACGGCUCACCAAGCCGAUAAUCAGUAGUAGCCGUGAGAGCGGGAGCUACCAGUCGGCUUCUGAGACAAGAAGCCGGACCCUACGGGGUGCAGCAGGCACGAAACCUUCACAAUGCACGCAAGUGCGAUGGGGGGAUUCCGAGUGCGGUCUUCUCACAAAGAAGGCCGCUUUUCUGCAGCGUAAGGAACUACAGGAACAAGGGGUGGGCAACACUGCUGCCAGCCGCCGCGGU